rnacentral:rRNA from 1 species
UACGGAGGGUGCAAGCGUUAUCCGGAUUUACUGGGUUUAAAGGGUGCGUAGGUGGGCAGUUAAGUCAGUGGUGAAAUCUCCGAGCUUAACUCGGAACGGUCAACUGAUACUGUUUUGCUAGAGUACAGAAGGGGCAAUCGGAAUUCUUGGUGUAGCGGUGAAAUGCGUAGAUAUCAAGAGGAACACCUGAGGUGAAGACGGGUUGCUGGGCUGAUACUGACGCUGAGGCGCGAAAGCUAGGGUAGCAAACGGG